UAUGCUUAAAGUCUUUUUUAUAAAAGCUCGAGGGCAGUUAAGUCAUUUCACAUCAAUUCUUACAGAUAAAACAUACUACUGCCUUAUUUUUCCCACUAGGUGUAAGUUUUAAAUGAGUCCACGUAUGUUCUACGCAGCGUAUUAGGUUUUCAUCCAAUUAAACUUUCAAAAUUUGGAUAGCUGCUCCAAUUCUCUUCGCCUUCCUUAAAUUCCUUCUACCUGCAGUUCUUGCGAUCUAUUGUGGUUGUUGUGUUUUCGUGUUAUUCAGUAGCCUUCCAAUCAAAAGAUUUUUUUGGUCAAGAACUACUAAAAAGAAGACCAGAAAGAAGUCCAAACAUCGCAUACACAACGCCCCACCUUCAGCUAAUAUGUAAAUAGUUAUUUCAUACAUGAGCAUCCCUAAUGUGAUGCUCUCAUGGUUGUAAACAAUAUAUAUAUUGAUCAAAAUGUAUGUAAAUAGGUAUAUAUCAAUUAACAUGCAAUAUUGUCUAUUUGAUUCCACACUUACCAUCAAUUAUUAGAUCUACAAUUAAAAAUCAUACAGUAUUAAAUAAUGUUGGCCCCCACCUAGUAGAAAAAGAAGAACGAAUGAGGAUUAAGACAAAUACGAUUUAUAUUAAAUGAAUAGAUGCAUGUCAUGUGUGGGCAUACUAGGAGAGAUAAAAUUAGGCAGAGAAUCAAGUAUGACUUAGUAAAGAGGUGUGACAGGUUAGCCUUGGUGGGUUCAAGGAGAGAUAAAGGCAUGCCCAAGAAGUAUUGAGGAGAGUUGAUCAGGCAGAAUAUGAUACUACUCCAGUUUAGCGAGGAUAUGACCCUUGAUAGGAAGGUGUAAAUGACGAGGAUUAAGGUAGAACGCUAGUAGGUAGUCGAACGUUUCUCUUUGCCAUACCAAUAGAUUAGAGUAUUAUUGUCAUACUUUCUUACUCUUAGAUUUCUAUUAUUACAUGUUGUUUCUUUUUGCUUAUGUUAUCUUAUUAUCUUGUUGUUGAUACUGCUUCUCUUUCAUGGGUUUUUCACGACUGUAUUUCUUGUUAAGACUGCUAUGAUUGUACAUUGCUUGAGCAGGGUAUAUUGAAAAUAGCUUCUCAACCUGCGCAAGACGUACACUCCCUAGUGGGACUAUACUAGUUUUGUUGUAGAUGCAGGUCAUGUUUUAGCACAUUCAGUUUAUCACUGAAAUAUAAUUAAUUAAUAUAAUUUUUUCUUUUGUUAUAUCACUUAAUUGAAUAACUAAUAGUAUAAUUUUAUAUAUAUUUAACUACAUAAUAAGCGUAAGACCCUUGGACGACCAAGGGUACUUUCGAUAUUAUACAUUUCUUGGAGCUGUUUGAUGAACCGUGUUUGAUUUUGGUUUGAUGCUGCUACAAUUACCGGGUGAGUUUUAUUUUCCUCUCUUUUUUAGUCCCUUGAUAGUUUUCCCCAAUUUGUUUUACUUUGUGAUAUAUGUUAUGCGUUUGUUCCAAAGAAAUUGGUUUAGGUAGGGAGUAUCAUACUAUCUUUACUACUGGAAUUAAGCUGUACCGUAGGUACUACUAUUAAUUAGAUUAAGUGACACUUAAAUAUAAAUAGUUAUCUAAAAGGGGCAACUUGUAAUAUUGUGAAUUGGGGGUUUCUGGUCUUUUAAAUCGACAGGUCUUUUUGUUGCUAUCAAUAAGAGAAAUCUUUUUGUGUACCGUAACCUCUGCUGCUUUCCUCUUUUGAUGGUGUAUUCCAUUAGAAAGAUGCACGGUUUUGCCGUGAUUGUAGUGUUAAAGUUUUCUGGUUAAAUGGCUUUCAGAUAGAGAGAAGUCCAUUUCUUUCAAAGACAUAAUUGUUGAAACAGAACUACCGGACCUGACCAUCUUCUUGUUACCUGCCAUGAUUGGGUUGAUAGAGCUAUUCUUGAAAAUCUGAAAAGACAAAGGCCCACCUAAAAUAUGCUAGCAUAACUUAUGAAGACAUACUUUGAAGGUAAUUUAGCUUAAUUCUUUGUUUUUUGUGCCAUUUGACUCUAGCACAUAAUAUAACCUCCUUUCUGUUGUCCAAGGUUUUGAUUAUUCAUGGUAAAGAAAAUUCUCCGUUAAAGUCUUUUUGUUUUAUGUUUGGUGUUAAAGUCGUGGUUGUCAAGUUCUUGCAACAUAACGUGCUUGUAGUCAGCUCUAAUGAUGAUUCUUGUUUAAUUUCUGGUAGAUCUUAAAGUUAGUUAUAUAUCGAAGUGAUAAAUAUCGUUUUACUCUCCUAUAUCAUUAGCAUUUUUUGCAGCAAUUUCAUGGAGGUUUAAGUUUUUGUUUUUUUGUUUCAAAUUGUAAUUGUUGGAAAAAUCUGAGAUAUCAUUCUUUUGAAAUUUGUAUUGCUUUAAUGGAAAAAUGGGUUCACCUUGGGAAAGGUGGAGAAAAAAGAAGAGAAACUAUGUAGAUUUCAUUGGUGUCGAGAAGAUAUAAAAAAUGUGUAACUUUUUCUAA